rnacentral:rRNA from 1 species
AAUAGAUACCCUGGUAGUCCACGCCGUAAACGAUGAGUGCUAAGUGUUAGAGGGUUUCCGCCCUUUAGUGCUGCAGCUAACGCAUUAAGCACUCCGCCUGGGGAGUACGGUCGCAAGACUGAAACUCAAAGGAAUUGACGGGGGCCCGCACAAGCGGUGGAGCAUGUGGUUUAAUUCGAAGCAACGCGAAGAACCUUACCAGGUCUUGAUAUCCUCUGACAACUCUAGAGAUAGAGCGUUCCCCUUCGGGGGACAGAGUGACAGGUGGUGCAUGGUUGUCGUCAGCUCGUGUCGUGAGAUGUUGGGUUAAGUCCCGCAACGAGCGCAACCCUUGAUCUUAGUUGCCAGCAUUUAGUUGGGCACUCUAAGGUGACUGCCGGUGACAAACCGGAGGAAGGUGGGGAUGACGUCAAAUCAUCAUGCCCCUUAUGACCUGGGCUACACACGUGCUACAAUGGAUGGUACAAAGGGCUGCAAGACCGCGAGGUCAAGCCAAUCCCAUAAAACCAUUCUCAGUUCGGAUUGU